rnacentral:rRNA from 1 species
UGGUGGAGUGAUUUGUCUGGUUAAUUCCGUUAACGAACGAGACCUCGACCUGCUAAAUAGUGUCAGGAACUCUAUGUUCCUAGAAACUUCUUAGAGGGACUUUACCUGUCUAGGGUAAGGAGGUUCGAGGCAAUAACA